GAUGAAGAACGUAGCGAAAUGCGAUAAGUAGUGUGAAUUGCAGAAUUCAGUGAAUCAUCGAAUCUUUGAACGCACAUUGCGCCCCUUGGUAUUCCAUGGGGCAUGCCUGUUCGAGCGUCAUUUGUACCCUCCAGCCCUGCUGGGUGUUGGGCGUUUGUUCCGCCGCGCGCGUAAACUCGCCUCAAAUGCAUUGGCAGCCAGCCGUCCCGCGUGGGAGCGCAGCACAUUUUGCGCUCUCCGCUGGGUGCGGCGGCGUCCACAAGCCUAUACCUUUACGCUUGACCUCGGAUCAGGUAGGGAUACCCGCUGAACUUAAGCAUAUCAAUAAGCGGAA
rnacentral:misc_RNA from 1 species